CGAGUGAGCAGGAGGAGAGGAUGUGCUGAGGGGACACCACGCACAAACGCCUGGUAGGAGUGAGAAGCACCGCACAUCCACGGAGCCGAAAAUCCCAGACAUGGAGCCCGAUAAACCAGCAGCCCAGAAAUGCCAACGGGAGCAGAAUUAAAGAAAUCCCUCCAAACACC